CUGCAUUUGAUCGUUAUACAAUUAAUGGUCGCUAUUCAAUUAAAACAGCAGUUUCAUGAUUGGCUCUUGGCCUCCAGGUCUAUAAGCUGGCAGCUCUAUGCCACCUAUUUCGCUGAUGACAAGAAGAUAUGGUCUAUCUUAUAUUGAAGUCUCGGAGUCUCGGAGAUAUCACUAAAACUCUUUCCACCUCGCCAAGUGUUACCGCUUUGUUGUAAGUCUAUUAGGAAUUAUACACAAUGAUGAAUGGAAAUUUGGAGGAUUUUUGAGGAGGACAAAUUAGCGAUGACUUUUGAUUCUGGACCUGAAAGACGUUAUGAGUUAUCACCAUGAAUCCAGUAACACGACUAAAGAUAUGGGAAUAAGAGCGAUUACCAGAGCAUUCAUUGCACCAGCCUUUUUGUGAUGCUGGAAUCCAGGCCUCUUCUCACGAGAAACAUAAACAAGUCGAGGAAGUUCAUUUCCGUCAGCAUCAUGGCCUCCAUUGUGACCCAAGAAGACCUGAAUCAUGCCUGGAUGGUCUCGGGUGUUGUUACCUGGCCAUGGAGUUCCAUCCUGCAUGAUCCAUCCUUCUGUAGGUACUUUCACAGCUUUUG